rnacentral:rRNA from 1 species
AGUGAACGCUGGCGGUAGGCCUAACACAUGCAAGUCGAACGGCAGCACAGUAAGAGCUUGCUCUUACGGGUGGCGAGUGGCGGACGGGUGAGGAAUACAUCGGAAUCUACUUUUUCGUGGGGGAUAACGUAGGGAAACUUACGCUAAUACCGCAUACGACCUACGGGUGAAAGCAGGGGAUCUUCGGACCUUGCGCGAUUGAAUGAGCCGAUGUCGGAUUGGCUAGUUGGCGGGGUAAAGGCCCACCAAGGCGACGAUCCGUAGCUGGUCUGAGAGGAUGAUCAGCCACACUGGAGCGGAGACACGGUCCAGACUCCUACGGGAGGCAGCAGGGGGGAAUAUGGGACAAUGGGCGCAAGCCUGAUCCAGCCAUACCGCGUGGGUGAAGAAGGCCUUCGGGUGGUAAAGCCCUUUUGUUGGGAAAGAAAAGCAGCAGGUUAAUACCCCGCUGUUCUGACGGUACCCAAAGAAUAAGCACCGGCUAACUUCGU